CAGCCGCCGCGGGAAUACGUAGGUGGCAAGCGUUGUCCGGAAUUAUUGGGCGUAAAGGGCGCGUAGGCGGACAGUUAAGUCGGGGGUGAAAGCCCGGGGCUCAACCUCGGAAUUGCCUUCGAAACUGGCUGUCUUGAGUACGGGAGAGGUGAGUGGAACUCCGAGUGUAGAGGUGAAAUUCGUAGAUAUUCGGAAGAACACCAGUGGCGAAGGCGACUCACUGGCCCGUUACUGACGCUGAGGCGCGAAAGCGUGGGGAGCAAACAGGAUUAGAUACCCGAGUAGUCCCUGUCUCUUAUAC
rnacentral:rRNA from 1 species